rnacentral:rRNA from 1 species
UGUCCUACGGGGGGCAGCAGUGAGGAAUAUUGGUCAAUGGACGAGAGUCUGAACCAGCCAAGUAGCGUGAAGGAUGACUGCCCUAUGGGUUGUAAACUUCUUUUAUAUGGGAAUAAAAUGUUCCACGUGUGGGAUUUUGUAUGUACCAUAUGAAUAAGGAUCGGCUAACUCCGUGCCAGCAGCCGCGGUAAUACGGAGGAUCCGAGCGUUAUCCGGAUUUAUUGGGUUUAAAGGGCGCGUAGGUGGUUUGUUAAGUCAGUUGUGAUAGUUUGCGUCUCCACCGUCACAUUGUAGUU